rnacentral:rRNA from 1 species
UACGUAGGGUGCAAGCGUUGUCCGGAAUUAUUGGGCGUAAAGAGCUCGUAGGCGGUUUGUCGCGUCGAAUGUGAAAUCCCGGGGCUCAACCCCGGGUCUGCAUUCGAUACGGGCAGACUAGAGUUCGGUAGGGGAGUCUGGAAUUCCUGGUGUAGCGGUGAAAUGCGCAGAUAUCAGGAGGAACACCGGUGGCGAAGGCGGGACUCUGGGCCGAUACUGACGCUGAGGAGCGAAAAGCGUGGGGGAGCAAAACAGG